rnacentral:rRNA from 1 species
UACGAAGGGUGCAAGCGUUACUCGGAAUUACUGGGCGUAAAGCGUGCGUAGGUGGUUUGUUAAGUCUGAUGUGAAAGCCCUGGGCUCAAUCUGGGAAUUGCAUUGGAUACUGGCAGGCUAGAGUGCGGUAGAGGGUAGUGGAAUUCCCGGUGUAGCAGUGAAAUGCGUAGAGAUCGGGAGGAACAUCCGUGGCGAAGGCGACUACCUGGACCAGCACUGACACUGAGGCACGAAAGCGUGGGGAGCAAACAGG